rnacentral:rRNA from 1 species
GACGAACGCUGGCGGCGUGCUUAACACAUGCAAGUCGAACGAUGAAGAAGAGAAACGCGAACUUCGGUUCAAAUUUCACUUCGGAUUAGUGGCAGACGGGUGAGUAACGCGUGAGCAACCUACCUCUUACAAAGGGAUAGCCUCGGGAAACCGUGAUUAAUACCAUAUGACACAUUCAUAAGGCAUCUUAAGAAUGUUAAAGCUACGGCGGUAAGAGAUGGGCUCGCGUCCCAUUAGCUAGUUGGUGAGGUAACGGCCCACCAAGGCGACGAUGGGUAACCGGCCUGAGAGGGUGAACGGUCACAUUGGAACUGAGACACGGUCCAAACUCCUACGGGAGGCAGCAGUGGGGAAUAUGGCACAAUGGAGGGAACUCUGAUGCAGCGACGCCGCGUGAGCGAUGAAGGAAUUCGUUUCGUAAAGCUCUGUUCUAUGGGAAGAAAAGGACUGUACCAUAGGAGAAAGCCCCGGCUAAAUACGU